GACGAACGCUGGCGGCGUGCUUAACACAUGCAAGUCGAACGGAAAGGCCUUUUCGGAGGUACUCGAGUGGCGAACGGGUGAGUAACACGUGGGAGAUCUGCCCUGCACUCUGGGAUAAGCCUGGGAAACUGGGUCUAAUACCGGAUAGGACCGCACUUUGGUGUGUGUGGUGGAAAGUUUUUUCGGUGUAGGAUGAGCCCGCGGCCUAUCAGCUUGUUGGUGGGGUAAUGGCCUACCAAGGCGGCGACGGGUAGCCGGACUGAGAGGUUGGUCGGCCACAUUGGGACUGAGAUACGGCCCAGACUCCUACGGGAGGCAGCAGUGGGGAAUAUUGCACAAUGGGCGCAAGCCUGAUGCAGCGACGCCGCGUGGGGGAUGACGGCCUUCGGGUUGUAAACUCCUUUCGCCAGGGACGAAGCGUUUUGUGACGGUACCUGGAGAAGAAGCACCGGCUAACUACGUG
rnacentral:rRNA from 1 species